UGCACAGUGGCGCAGUUGGUAGCACUGCUACCUUGCAGCAAGAAGGUCCUGGGUUCAACUCCCGGCCUGGGGUUUUUUGCAU